CUUGGGGAGCAUGAUAUUCCCCAGAUGCCUUAAGAUCCUCUCCUUUGUAUUUUGUGGUUUGAUUAUAGACCUGAAAUGCACAAAGUUGCAUUUCUAUUAUAAGUCAGGUGUUACAGUCGGUAGAGGAGACAAAGCUACAAAUACAUGCAUAUCUACAUGUUAACAUCGCUACACACAUGCAUAUCUACAUAUUAUCAUCCGUCUGUCCUCUAAUAUUGGUCAUUAUUGGAAGCCAGUUCUAAAUCACAGCCAACAACUAACCCCCAUUUAGUCAUGGUUGCUCAGUCAGUGCAAAGUGAGCCCUUAAGAAACACAUACAUACUAAGCACAUAUAUAAUGUCAAAACUUAAACAUCACUGUUAUUAUAUCAUCUGCAGGGGCAGUUUUCUCAAUAUCCACGAAAGACGAGGAUCCCCCUACGGCGCCACGACAGACGAGGAUCCCCUUAGGACGAUAAAUAUUCAAAUGUUCACUCUAAAUUACAUUGGCCAUGCAACACAAAAGUACAAGACCUUGAUAGGUGAAGGAGGGUUUGGGGCCGUUUACCGUGGCACACUACCUGAUGGUACAGAAGUAGCAGUGAAGGUUCGAUCCUCUACCUCAACGCAGGGCACCAAGGAAUUCGAGAAUGAGGUACAGAAAGACACUUCUAUCUGCUGCUCAAACUGUUUACAUAGAGAUAUGAGAUUCAUUGAUAAAAAUCAUAUAUAGAACUAACUUCAUCAUAUGAAACAGCUAAAUCUACUUUCAGCAAUCCAGCAUGAAAACCUAGUCCGUUUGCUUGGUUACUGUAGCGAAAAUGACCAGCAAAUCUUGGUUUAUCCAUUUAUGUCAAAUGGCUCUCUACAAGAUCGGCUUUACGGUAACUAUUACUUCCACUGAGUGUCCUAUUGGUUAGAAAACGUCCACCAACUAGGUUGGGUUGGACACGAGGCUCAUCUCAUUCUAACAAAAAGCUCCUGUAACAGGAGAAGCAGCAAAAAGAAAAACUCUGGACUGGCCAACUAGACUCUCUAUUGCUCUUGGAGCUGCCCGAGGUACGCAAUUUAUCCUUUUGUUUUGUUUUUUCAGUAAUUAAGCUUUAAUUCGUUAAAUAAAGCAAUAUUCUGUCUUACUACUUGACCACGAGGUAACACCGCACGUGUCAAUGUUCAGGUUUGACAUACCUGCACACUUUUGCUGAGCGUUGUGUAAUAC
rnacentral:lncRNA from 1 species